rnacentral:rRNA from 1 species
GAUGAACGCUGGCGGCGUGCCUAAUACAUGCAAGUCGAGCGAACGGACGAGAAGCUUGCUUCUCUGAUGUUAGCGGCGGACGGGUGAGUAACACGUGGAUAACCUACCUAUAAGACUGGGAUAACUUCGGGAAACCGGAGCUAAUACCGGAUAAUAUUUUGAACCGCAUGGUUCAAAAGUGAAAGACGGUCUUGCUGUCACUUAUAGAUGGAUCCGCGCUGCAUUAGCUAGUUGGUAAGGUAACGGCUUACCAAGGCAACGAUGCAUAGCCGACCUGAGAGGGUGAUCGGCCACACUGGAACUGAGACACGGUCCAGACUCCUACGGGAGGCAGCAGUAGGGAAUCUUCCGCAAUGGGCGAAAGCCUGACGGAGCAACGCCGCGUGAGUGAUGAAGGUCUUCGGAUCGUAAAACUCUGUUAUUAGGGAAGAACAUAUGUGUAAGUAACUGUGCACAUCUUGACGGUACCUAAUCAGAAAGCCACGGCUAACUACGUGCCAGCAGCCGCGGUAAUACGUAGGUGGCAAGCGUUAUCCGGAAUUAUUGGGCGUAAAGCGCGCGUAGGCGGUUUUUUAAGUCUGAUGUGAAAGCCCACGGCUCUACCGUGGAGGGUCAUUGGAAACUGGAAAACUUGAGUGCAGAAGAGGAAAGUGGAAUUCCAUGUGUAGCGGUGAAAUGCGCAGAGAUAUGGAGGAACACCAGUGGCGAAGGCGACUUUCUGGUCUGUAACUGACGCUGAUGUGCGAAAGCGUGGGGAUCAAACAGGAUUAGAUACCCUGGUAGUCCACGCCGUAAACGAUGAGUGCUAAGUGUUAGGGGGUUUCCGCCCCUUAGUGCUGCAGCUAACGCAUUAAGCACUCCGCCUGGGGAGUACGACCGCAAGGUUGAAACUCAAAGGAAUUGACGGGGACCCGCACAAGCGGUGGAGCAUGUGGUUUAAUUCGAAGCAACGCGAAGAACCUUACCAAAUCUUGACAUCCUUUGACAACUCUAGAGAUAGAGCCUUCCCCUUCGGGGGACAAAGUGACAGGUGGUGCAUGGUUGUCGUCAGCUCGUGUCGUGAGAUGUUGGGUUAAGUCCCGCAACGAGCGCAACCCUUAAGCUUAGUUGCCAUCAUUAAGUUGGGCACUCUAAGUUGACUGCCGGUGACAAACCGGAGGAAGGUGGGGAUGACGUCAAAUCAUCAUGCCCCUUAUGAUUUGGGCUACACACGUGCUACAAUGGACAAUACAAAGGGCAGCGAAACCGCGAGGUCAAGCAAAUCCCAUAAAGUUGUUCUCAGUUCGGAUUGUGGUCUGCAACUCGACUACAUGAAGCUGGAAUCGCUAGUAAUCGUAGAUCAGCAUGCUACGGUGAAUACGUUCCCGGGUCU